UCUAUUAUAUGUUAAAGUAAAUGCAUGCAUGCAUAUAGUCAUAUAAUGCAUUUUAGAAAGCUCCAGGUAAGGAAAUACCACACCCUUUCCGAGGUGAUUUGGAGACGUGUUGUCCAGACAUUAUGGAUCCAGAUCAUCUGAGCAGUUCCUAUAGGACCUCUUCUGGAGUACGGCGGAGGGCUUUUGAAGUGCGUCGUCCCCGUUCUGUUAGACAGCCUCGUCGGUUGGUGGAGGCUGUGAUACGUCCUGUCCAGGCAGAUGUUCCAGACGUUGAGGAUGAGGAGGCAGAUAUUCCGAUUGAGGAUCCCGCUCCUGCUGCACAUGUCCCUCGCAGGGAGCUUCCGAGCAUUCAGGUGGUGAACCCAGAGUUGCUGGGUGAUUUGAGCAGACAUCCAUCGAUGUAUUUGCAUGCUAAUGAGGUAUGGCGUUAGACUUUGAUCUUCCUUCUUUCUUAUUGAUGAGGAUUAAAGGGUUCUGAUGUUGAUCUGCAUUUCAUGCAGGUUCCAGGAUUUCCAUCCUUUUGAGGGGGCGAUGGGUCAGUGUUCAGCUUCUUGAUAUCUCUCAGCAGAGGACCGAUCCCGUGUGUAUGCUUGUUGGGAUCGGCGUGAGAUAGCU
rnacentral:lncRNA from 1 species